rnacentral:rRNA from 1 species
CCUACGGGAGGCAGCAGUGAGGAAUAUUGGUCAAUGGACGAGAGUCUGAACCAGCCAAGUAGCGUGAAGGAUGACUGCCCUAUGGGUUGUAAACUUCUUUUAUAUGGGAAUAAAAUGUUCCACGUGUGGGAUUUUGUAUGUACCAUAUGAAUAAGGAUCGGCUAACUCCGUGCCAGCCGCCGCGGUAAUACGGAGGAUCCGAGCGUUAUACGGAUUUAUUGGGUUUAAAGGGAGCGUAGGUGGAUUGUUAAGUCAGUUGUGAAAGUUUGCGGCUCAACCGUAAAAUUGCAGUUGAAACUGGCAGUCUUGAGUACAGUAGAGGUGGGCGGAAUUCGUGGUGUAGCGGUGAAAUGCUUAGAUAUCACGAAGAACUCCGAUUGCGAAGGCAGCUCACUGGACUGCAACUGACACUGAGGCUCGAAAGUGUGGGUAUCAAACAGGAUUAGAUACCCCAGUAGUC